CCGGUAAACGGCGGCCGUAACUAUAACGGUCCUAAGGUAGCGAAAUUCCUUGUCGGGUAAGUUCCGACCUGCACGAAUGGCGUAAUGAUGGCCAGGCUGUCUCCACCCGAGACUCAGUGAAAUUGAACUCGCUGUGAAGAUGCAGUGUACCCGCGGCAAGACGGAAAGACCCCGUGAACCUUUACUAUAGCUUGACACUGAACAUUGAGCCUUGAUGUGUAGGAUAGGUGGGAGGCUUAGAAGUGUGGACGCCAGUCUGCAUGGAGCCGACCUUGAAAUACCACCCUUUAAUGUUUGAUGUUCUAACGUUGACCCGUAAUC
rnacentral:rRNA from 1 species